UACAGGGGGGGCAAGCGUUGUUCGGAAUUACUGGGCGUAAAGGGUCUGUAGGUGGCUUGCUAAGUCAGACGUGAAAUCCCUCAGCUUAACUGGGGAACUGCGUCUGAUACUGGCGAGCUUGAGUGCAGGAGAGGAACGCGGAAUUCCAGGUGUAGCGGUGAAAUGCGUAGAUAUCUGGAGGAAUACCGGUGGCGAAGGCGGCAUCCUGGACCGGCAUUGACGCUGAGGAGCGAAAGCUAGGGGAGCAAACAGG
rnacentral:rRNA from 1 species